AGAAGAAGAAGAUAACGGGAGCAGACAUUAUUUGCUUCUGUCAUGUCGGCUUAGCGUCAGGCCUCGCACACUGCGGCCCAGUCAGAUACGGAUGCACAAGUGAAUGUACCUGCACACACACGCCUGAUGGAACGCGCGCAUGUUCCCCAUCGCGGUACUUAUGCAUGCGGCUGAGCAGAAUGUGCUGGGAGGAACGGGGGGGCACAUGAGGAACCUGAUUUGCUGACACGUUCAACACAGAAAAAAGUCACACUUCCACACGUCCUCACACCCACACAGCUGCACUCUGAUCAGACUUUCUCCCUUUGAGUCAAUGAGGCAGGACUGCCGCCAUUUUACACAGCAAAGCAUACAGGUUCCAUAGUCAGUCAGGCAGUAUCUCGUCAGGCGGGCCUCGGUCACAGACCCCCAGGGU